UCUAAUACCGGAUACGAGAACCUUGGGCAUCCUUGGUUCUGUAAAGCUCCGGCGGUGCAGGAUGAGCCCGCGGCCUAUCAGCUUGUUGGUGAGGUAAUGGCUCACCAAGGCGACGACGGG
rnacentral:rRNA from 1 species